UACCAGCACCCCGAGCGGUCGGGACGAUUAUUGGGCCUAAAGCAUCCGUAGCCGGUCCUACAAGUCUUCCGUUAAAUCCACCUGCUUAACAGAUGGGCUGCGGAAGAUACUAUAGGGCUAGGAGGCGGGAGAGGCAAGCGGUACUCAGUGGGUAGGGGUAAAAUCCUCUGAUCCACUGAAGAACACCAGUGGCGAAGGCGGCUUGCCAGAACGCGCUCGACGGUGAGGGAUGAAAGCUGGGGGAGCAAACCGG
rnacentral:rRNA from 1 species